rnacentral:lncRNA from 1 species
ACAGGGGACACCACUGCUGCUCUGGGACCACACUCUGAGUAGCAAGCCUCUGUUUUCAGCUGCCUUUGUCAUGAGCCUGGAGCGGAGUACAUUUAAGCUCGGCACUCAAGCAGCAGCCAGCGAUGGGAGGGCUAGUGCUGUGCUAUAUGAAUUGAGAUGUGCUGAAUCCGACAAGCCAGGCUCUGUGCCUUCUCCACGCUUUGUGGAGAACUGUGGACAGAGCUACAGGAGCCUGCAGCUGGGAGACCCAGACUUCAGGGGACGUGCCAGUCACUACCCACCCCCCCACCGCCCCCCGCCGCCCCCAUCACUUCCAGCCUGUGCCUCUGUCCCCGUAGGAAUAGUGGCUGAGAUCUUCACGCCUUUCAGCAGACAGCCUGCAGAAAGGGAAGCUGGUCUGGGCUCAGGUCUUCCUUUCCAACGGACUGACAGAGCAAAGGAUGUGGAAUUUGAAGGCAAAAGUCACCCUGAUCAAACGGUAUGGAUUACCCAAUAACACAGCACUGAGGUCAGCCUCUGGAAGCAAUUGAAGAUGGCCCCGGGGAUCUGAGAUUCCAAACCCCACAGGCAAGCAGAAGUGUUCCCUCCCACACUGGGCCACCUCCCUUCCUGAGCAAUUCUGCCCCGAUUCUGUGGGUAAAAGCAGCUGUGCUUUCUGCAGAGUUCCGACAGAUGCCAAGCACAUUGUAGGUCUUAACACCAGGGAGGAUGCUCCAUCUAUACGGAGCGCCCAUUGAGUGAGAGGCGAGAGUCACCGUGUCUUUCCUCCUCGCAACAACCCUAGGUGAGACACACAUGCUUACUAUGCACAUUUGGUAUCCAUGGAAGCUGAGGCCCACAGAGGCACCUUGCCCGGGGUCAUACACAGGUGACAAAGCAGAGACGAAACCCAACCUGACUGAUUCUUUCUGACGGAGCCAGUCCGUUGAAAUCAACACCAGGUGAUUAGUAGAAGAUGUGUAAUUUUCUUUCUUUCUUUUUUUUUUAAAUAUAAAGCAUUUCCCUCAUAUAAUGAAGACGGAUUACUCGCAUUUUAAAAGGGAGCAACCAGGGGCACCUGGGUGGCUCAGUCGGUUAAGUGGCCAACUUCAGCUCAGGUCAUGAUCUCACUGCUCCUGAGUUUGAGCCCCGCGUCAGGCUCUGUGCUGACAGCUCGGAGCCCGGAGCCGCUUUGGAUUCUGUGUGUCCCUCUUCCUCUUUACCCCUCCCCUACUCAUGCUCUGUCUCCCUCUGUCUCAAAAAUAAAUAAACAUUAAAAAAGAUUUUUUUUUAAGGG